rnacentral:rRNA from 1 species
AACGCGAAGAACCUUACCAGGGUUUGACAUGCCUGUCGCGGACUCCAGAAAAGGAGUCCUUCAGUUCGGCUGGACAGGACACAGGUGCUGCAUGGCUGUCGUCAGCUCGUGUCGUGAGAUGUUGGGUUAAGUCCCGCAACGAGCGCAACCCUCGUCCUCUGUUGCUAACGGGUCAUGCCGAGAACUCUGAGGAAACUGCCGGUGAUAAGCCGGAGGAAGGUGGGGAUGACGUCAAGUCCUCAUGGCCCUUACACCCUGGGCUACACACGUGUUACAAUGGCGGUGACAAUGGGUCGCGAUCGCGCAAGCGCUAGCUAAUCCCCAAAAGCCGCCUCAGUUUGGAUUGCACUCUGCAACUCGAGUGCAUGAAAUUGGAAUCGCUAGUAAUCGUAGAUCAGCACGCUACGGUGAAUACGUUCCCGGGCCUUGUACACACCGUAGAGAC